AUUGAACGCUGGCGGCAUGCCUUACACAUGCAAGUCGAACGGUAACAGGUUAAGCUGACGAGUGGCGAACGGGUGAGUAAUGUAUCGGAACGUGCCCAGUCGUGGGGGAUAACUACUCGAAAGAGUGGCUAAUACCGCAUACGACCUGAGGGUGAAAGCGGGGGACCGUAAGGCCUCGCGCGAUUGGAGCGGCCGAUAUCAGAUUAGCUAGUUGGUGGGGUAAAAGCCCACCAAGGCGACGAUCUGUAGCUGGUCUGAGAGGACGACCAGCCACACUGGGACUGAGACACGGCCCAGACUCCUACGGGAGGCAGCAGUGGGGAAUUUUGGACAAUGGGCGCAAGCCUGAUCCAGCCAUGCCGCGUGUCUGAAGAAGGCCUUCGGGUUGUAAAGGACUUUUGUCCGGGAGCAAAUGCCUGGUGUUAAUAGCACUGGGAGCUGAGAGUACCGGAAGAAUAAGCACCGGCUAACUACGUGCCAGCAGCCGCAGUAACAC
rnacentral:rRNA from 1 species